rnacentral:rRNA from 1 species
CCUACGGGAGGCAGCAGUGAGGAAUAUUGGUCAAUGGGCGAGAGCCUGAACCAGCCAAGUCGCGUGAGGGAAGACGGUCCUAUGGAUUGUAAACCUCUUUUGCCGGGGAGCAAAAAGCGGUACGUGUACCGCAUCGAGAGUACCCGGAGAAAAAGCAUCGGCUAACUCCGUGCCAGCAGCCGCGGUAAUACGGAGGAUGCGAGCGUUAUCCGGAUUUAUUGGGUUUAAAGGGUGCGCAGGCGGCGAGUUAAGUCAGCGGUAAAAUUUCGGGGCUCAACCCCGACAAGCCAUUGAAACUGGCGUGCUAGAGUGGGCGAGAAGUAUGCGGAAUGCGUGGUGUAGCGGUGAAAUGCAUAGAUAUCACGCAGAACUCCGAUUGCGAAGGCAGCAUACCGGCGCCCAACUGACGCUCAGGCACGAAAGCGUGGGUAUCGAACAGGAUUAGAUACCCGAGUAGUC